UGCAAGUCGAGCGGACAGAUGGGAGCUUGCUCCAUGACGUUAGCGGCGGACGGGUGAGUAACACGUGGGCAACCUGCCUGUAAGACUGGGAUAACUCCGGGAACCGGAGCUAAUACCGGAUAACAGUUUCAACCGCAUAAGACAAAAAUAAAAGAUGGCUUCGGCUACCACUUACAGAUGGACCCGCGGCGCAUUAGCUAGUUGGUGAGGUAACGGCUCACCAAGGCAACGAUGCAUAGCCGACCUGAGAGGGUGAUCGGCCACACUGGGACUGAGACACGGCCCAGACUCCUACGGGAGGCAGCAGUAGGGAAUCUUCCGCAAUGGACGAAAGUCUGACGGAGCAACGCCGCGUGAGUGAUGAAGGCUUUCGGAUCGUAAAACUCUGUUGUUAGGGAAGAACAAGUACAAGAGAAACGGCGGUACCUUGACGGUACCUAACCAGAAAGCCACGGCUAACUACGUGCCAGCAGCCGCGGUAAUACGUAGGUGGCAAGCGUUAUCCGGAAUUAUUGGGCGUAAAGCGCGCGCAGGCGGUUUCUUAAGUCUGAUGUGAAAGCCCACGGCUCAACCGUGGAGGGUCAUUGGAAACUGGGGAACUUGAGUGCAGAAGAGAAAAGCGGAAUUCCACGUGUAGCGGUGAAAUGCGUAGAGAUGUG
rnacentral:rRNA from 2 species